GAUGAACGCUGGCGGCGUGCCUAAUACAUGCAAGUCGAGCGAACAGACGAGGAGCUUGCUCCUCUGACGUUAGCGGCGGACGGGUGAGUAACACGUGGAUAACCUACCUAUAAGACUGGGAUAACUUCGGGAAACCGGAGCUAAUACCGGAUAAUAUAUUGAACCACAUGGUUCAAUAGUGAAAGACGGUUUUGCUGUCACUUAUAGAUGGAUCCGCGCCGCAUUAGCUAGUUGGUAAGGUAACGGCUUACCAAGGCGACGAUGCGUAGCCGACCGGAGAGGGUGAUCGGCCACACUGGAACGGAGACACGGUCCAGACUCCUACGGGAGGCAGCAGUAGGGAAUCUUCCGCAAUGGGCGAAAGCCUGACGGAGCAACGCCGCGUGAGUGAUGAAGGUCUUCGGAUCGUAAAACUCUGUUAUUAGGGAAGAACAAAUGUGUAAGUAACUAUGCACGUCUUGACGGUACCUAAUCAGAAAGCCACGGCUAACUACGUG
rnacentral:rRNA from 1 species